rnacentral:lncRNA from 7 species
AAGGGAGUUUGCAGCAAGAGUUCUGGACAGAGCUGUGUUGAUGCAUCUUCUUUGUAUGCUUCGGUAUUUCCUCUGGUGCUCUAUAAAAGAGAACACUUCCAUGAAGCUAUGUCUUCAGGCUGAGAGGUGCUGGGAAAUUACUGCAAGCGCUGGCCGAGGUGUCACUCAUGGUGCUACCUCUUUGUGCUCCUUCAGACAGCAAGUGCAAGGGAGCUGACAGGCUGCCUGGGUAAGUGGAUCUGUCAACUCAUGGCAGACUGAACAGAAUGGAUAUGUACAAUGUGAUAGAGGAUAGUAAAGCAUCCAUUGACCUACAAGUUGAGUCGGUUCUGUAUUCUAUGAUUUAUGCAGCCAUUAGCUUUAAAAUGCAUUAUAGUAUGAAGAGACACUUCAGAAUAUUAACCACUAGGACCAUAUUCAUUGUUCGAUGUCCUAUAGUUCUCUGGAUAUAGACGUGGUUCAGGAAAGCAUUAGUGGUUGUGCGGCUGCAUUUGGAGCCAAGCGUUGCUGGGAAAAAACAGCAUCUUAAAAGCUUGUGUGCUUUUUGUUUCUUCUUUCUUUUGAUUUUUUUUAAGCCAUAUAGUCACAAAAGUCAGACUUGUUAUUUCCAUAAUGAACUCUAGACUAAUAAAUAUUUCAGUGACUUCAGGUGGCUUGGAGAGAGGGGAGGAAGAGUCAAACACUCCUAUUGCUGUUUUUUUUCUCGUUGCUAGUGUUACUGCAGGAUUCUGUUAGAGGUCUGUGAAGCCAGCUGAGAUAAAUUAAAAUGCAGUUUAACCUCUCUAGAGGGAAAACAGUGUUUUCAGACAUGUUAGUAUAUUCAUCCAGAAGCUAAGAAUUGUGAUAAGAGUGAAGGUAGACUCUGUGGCGACUCUGAAGUUGAAAUCAGAAGCUCUUGCUUUUCAUUGUAGAUGUUCCGAAACUUGUAAGCAUGGAGUAACAGGAGCAGCGGAGCAGAGAAAAAGACAAAGUCUUGUUUCAGAUUUUUUUUUUCCCUUUCUUCCUCCUGUGGCUAUUCCCUAGUGGAUACAAGACAGUAGAAAAGAAUUUCUAGUUGGGAAACCUAGCCUGAAUCUGAAUUAGAGAAGUUUUUCUGUUGCACCUAUGCUGUCAAAACCUUCUUGGCGCAUAUUUGUUAUGGGGUUGGGGUAACUUCAUUUGUGCUGGACAUCCUGCUGGUAAAGUUACUGGGGGAAAAAUAAAACCAAACAAACACAAUACUGACAAAAUGGAUGUGCCUUUCAGGCUCUCUGUGGGAAUUUUCAGUGUAAUUAUAGCAUUUUCUUGUAAAGCAUGUUAUUUGAGGAUGACAGUCUCAUGUAAUGUUUCUUUAAU